GGGGUAACCCGCAAGGGAGCUAGCCGUCGAAGGUGGGGUAGAUGAUUGGGGUGAAGUCGUAACAAGGUAGCCGUAUCGGAAGGUGCGGCUGGAUCACCUCCUUU
rnacentral:rRNA from 1 species